CUGCUGUAAUGGAAAACCAUCAAACUGUGGAAACAUGAGAGCGACAGUGAGCGCCUCCGCUGACCAGCCGUUACCGCACUAAAUUGCCGUUGGCUCGCUGAGUCAGGAAUGCUCACCGUGCUCCAUGUGCCAACUGGUGGCGAACUGCUGUAACUGCAGUUUUAUACAUCUCAGUUCAAGUAGGAGAAGUGCAACUUAAGAGUAUAGUCUUUUAAAUAAAGUAAAAAGAGGGAGGGGGUGUAAUAAUUCUAAUGUCCAUUCUGUCACAGUGGCCAUAAAUAAAAGGAAAAGAAUAGGCCAAGCUCCUCACACACGCAUCAAAAGACCCAAACGGUUUGAAAUACAUUUUUCUGCCUAAUUUCCCUGAUGGUGAAGAUGAGACCAGUAUAGAAUCCAAACGAAAGGAACUUGUGGAGGAGAUGAAGCAACGCCGUCCAACUGCUGCUCUGAUAACCAAAAACAUGGACGUUUGCCUUGAGAAGACAAGAGUUGGUUAACUUAGAGCGUCCAGUAACGGACAUAAUGGAAAGGUGGCCAGCACUCUUUACAGAUGGUCAGGUAAUUUAAAACUCUUCCUAUCUUUUAUGCAUCAAGUUUUUUAGUUCUCACAUAAUUCAUUGUUUGUCACAUCUCUUGUUAACUUACAGAAUUAGUUUCAGUGUCCUGCUAGUGAAAAGUAGUCCUGAGAGGUCCAACAUCUCUAUAUGUUAAAUAUUAAUUUGUCAUACUCUUUUUUCAGAUUCUGGCAGAGUUCUGUCGCUUGUCGAGCAAAAACCUGGGUUCAGAAUUUUUCAAAGAACUUGACAAAUACACCCCUCGCUUCUUUGAGGUUUUCAAGAGCAAGGGGGGAAGUGUUGGCCAGAAACUUCAGAGGUAUCUGCAACAAGUCAGACCCGAGAGUACAGAUGUUACUGCGAAGCGAAUGCCAGUGCUCCGUGGCCUUCCUGUGAUCCUUGGAGAUGAGAACACAGACUUCUUCAAGACAUGCUUUGACUGCGAAGACCCAGACGUGUCUCACACCCCCAUUGGGAUCCUGACCAUCAUUCCUGAGGACAGGCAGGCCUCCCCGGACUCACUGCACCUUGAGUCUUCAGGUACUGCCAUCAUUUUGGAAGGAAGUCUUGUCAUGAAUGACCUUGGAAAUCUUCCACAUGCCAUGUACCUGCUCUUUGGACUCAUUUAUGCUCUGAAUUUGGAGUACCCUCAACAACUGAAGUACACCUUUGACUUCAUCCAAAGGGUGCUUCUCUCACUUGGACAUAAAUCCCUAAAACCAAAAAUACAAUCACUCAAAAAUCUUCUGAUGCAAUGAGUGAAUGUGAUGUGACAUUAUGGAUCAACGUUGAUACCUUUACCCUUAUUGGAAAAGUGAUUUUUAUUUCUUGUUUGAUUCUUUUUUGUUGGAGGGAGCAUCAUUGCACUUGCAGACUAAUAAAUGGUUUUAUGUUAAUGAGGAGAAACAUUACUUCACUUCACUACUUCACUAUUCACUUUAUCGAUGUUAUGAUAAAUGUUAGGCUCUAUUAUUGAGAAUUUAGUUUUUGUUUCACACCAGUCAACAAAGACAUUUAAGCAGGGAUUCUCAAAGUUUUAAAGACUGAGGGCCAUUUGAAGGAUUCAAUGUUAGACUGAAGGCUGCCCUAGAAAAAAAGUCAUGUCUUUUUUUUUUUUUUUCCUAAAAAAGUCUAUGGAAAACUUUGUUUCCAGGUUAGUGUGUAUGUAACCACACUUGAGA